rnacentral:lncRNA from 1 species
ACUCCUGGGUGCGGCACGGGACCGGAGGUGCUUUCGACCUCCGAGGCUGCGACCGCGUGUCCUGUAGCAGCAACCACUGCAGAUGGGGCGUUGCAGCUCUCGAGCUGCUGCGGCUGCAGCUGGACUUGGCAGGGGUGAGAUAAUUAGCCCUUUUGAUGCACAAGCGCCUUCCUUUCUUCUACCUUCCUGUUCUUGACAAAGGCACCCGAAAGCCAGCAAUUCCCUUAUGGAAAGGUAGAUUCAGGAGAUCUGGGCAGGACUGCGUGGCAGCGUCAGGCUCCCUUAUUUCCUAGCCCUCAAUCCAAUUCCUAGUGAGGUGGCUGUCCUACCGGACUCAAAGAAUGAAACUGCCACCUGGGCUCUGAAGAGAUGCCAGUUCCAGUAGUUCCUCAAGGGUUCAAAGAACUUCAGUGACUGCCACAGGCAAAGUGGAUUCAAAUGCUAAACGGAACCAAGCAGACCGAAGACUGCAGAAAGGAAGGUGAGUCACAUACAUUCAGUUGAAAUCCAGGAGAGAGAAAAACAGCUUCCUUAGAGCAAGAGAGCCCUUCAGCAGUCUGUGUUUGAGUGUCAUCUUGUAACAGAGGCUCCUUUGAAACCUUUGGACUGAAAAUGGAACAUCAACCCUUCUGGGGCUCAGCUUGUUGGCCCACCCUGCCUAAUAAAUCAUUUAUUUACAA